AUUUGAAAUUCAUUGUGACCCUUAGAUUAGUCAUCCCACAAAUAAGGGUCACAAUAAAUCGCAAUUUACACUUCCACCAAAAAUGAAAAUCACAAUUAAAAAAUAUUAAAAUUGACAAACACUCUAGAUAAGAUUGAAUUCUCUAUCACGUUGGCACACUAAGCACUGUCACAGUUGCGGCGGUUGCAAAAGAGGAACAAUGGGUUACUCCAUCACCUAUGCAUACAAAAGAGGAAACAAACCCACUUUUGUCUUCUGCACAGAUCCCCUUUCUUCCGCGUGGUUUUUUUCAAAAUCUCCUCUGCAUCCACACUCGAUUUAGACAAGAUUUCAGUUUAUUGUGUUGGAUCCUAUCAUCAUUUACAAUUCAUAACAAGAAGCUUCCUUUGCAAUCACAAACAGUUGCUUGGUUUCAUAGAAAACGUAAGCUUCUGAAAUUUAAUGCAAUUUCCAAAUAUUCGAACAAACUUAUGCUAAGUACUUUUCUUUAGUAGCAUAAAAUUGUAGCUUAGUAAGAAAACCCAUGAGUUUGACUUUACUCAGUUUUGACUUUAUACUACUUCCUUGCGACUCAAUUAAACUGAAGACCACAAAACAUUAUUAUUGGAUGUCGAUUGAAUUUUGUUUUGAUAUUAGGUGUUAGCUGUUAUGUAUUUAGCACAUUUUAUCAAAUAUGUCUUUUCACAAGUCGAAUUUAAUUAAAUUGGUAUUGAACAAUAUUAUUUUAGUGGAUUUGUUUAAAAAGUGUAAUUAAUUUCUUAUUGAGUAUAAAUCUAUCUAUUUACACAUACUUCAUCUAAAUCAAUGGAGAUCUCACGAUGGCACUCUGUGUACGUGUUCACUUCCAAAGUAGUUUGGUUUUAAUUAUUUAUGUAAUACAGUUGAUGUACUAACUGAUUAGUUUCCAAAAGGAAUUCUUUUCUCAUGCGUAUGAAAGUAGCGCCCGUGAUUGGCUUUCAGAUUUACUAUACAAAUUUAUUACAAAAAUCUUUUUAUUAUACAAAAGUUCACUACUCAAAUGAAAUAUACUAGCCUCUCUGCACACAUUCAUGUGCAAGAGUGAGAUGACUUUUUUUAAUCACGGGUGUGUUUUUCAUUCUAAUUUGUUUGAACAAAUCGACUAAUUGUUUUAUUUACUAAACUGGUCCAAGCUUGAUAUUCUUUUAAUUAGUGUAGACGAAUUCACUAAAAUCAUUCCAGUACUCUACAGGUUCAACAUUUAGAAGUUGUUAUAUUAAAUGUUAGUGUGAAUCUACAUACGGAAUUGACUUCACACACUUCCAUUGAGUUUAUGGUGGAAAGAUUUGAUGUGGCCAAGCGAACCAUUAGGUAUUCAUCUCUGCGUUUUUUUUCUUCUUUUAAGAAAUUUUAUUUCAUUUCACAGUUUCAAUGUAUUCAUUGAGGUAGUUGGUGGAGGAGAAGACUACUACUGUAUGAACAAUACAACUCAUGAUCAUUAUUCGAAAGAGAGAAUUCCACAAGAAAUGCAACAAAAAGUGAAGAUGACGCCACCUAAAGAAGAGCCACCUAGCAGACAUGUUUCUAUUUUUUCACCUACUUGGGGCAUCUCCGUUAGGGUAAAAAUUGUUGAUCUUAGUAAACUAAUUCUCAAAGAGUUCAAAAAGAAGAAGCACGAACAAUAUGUAUUCCUUAGCUAUCUUUUUAUUUUAAUGAAUUAAAAUUAGGAAGGAAACAUGCCUUAUACAUAGAUUAUUCAUAUAGGUGGUGCAUGAAAAAUGCUUUGACAGAAAUGAAAACUGCUACUACUCCUCACUUCAUACGAACCUACAAAGAGGUUCAACAAAUUAGGUACAAUCCUGAUUGUCAAGCAUAUCUAUCUUUGACAGUAUUAUUUCUUUA